GACGAACGCUGGCGGCGUGCCUAAUACAUGCAAGUCGAACGCAGUGGGGACGGGUGAGUAACACGUGGGUAACCUCCCAUCAGAGGGGAUAACCCUUGGAAACAGGUGCUAAACCGAUAUUGACGGAUGGACCCGCGGUGCAUGAGCGAGUUGGUGAGGUAACGGCUCACCAAGGCCACGGUGCAUAGCCGACCUGAGGUGGUGAUCGGCAACACUGGGACUGAGACACGGCCCAGACGCCUACGGGAGUCAGCAGUAGGGAAUCUUCGGCAAUGGACGAAAGUCUGACCGAGCAACGCCGCGUGAGUGAAGAAGGUUUUCGGAUCGGAAAACUCUGUUGUUAGAGAAGCGGUAUCUAACCAGAAAGCCACGGCUCACUACGUGCCAGCAGCCGCGGUAAUUC
rnacentral:rRNA from 1 species